rnacentral:lncRNA from 1 species
AAAAAUUGGAGUCAUCUCCCUCAGCUCCGGAGACGGCGACCGGCGAGCGGCGGCGGCGUCAUGGUCCCUCUUCCGAGCAGCAGUACGGACAUCGCCGGACAACCGAGGGUAAGGUCAGUUUACUCACUCUCCGCGCGUUCGCCUCUCUGUUCGUUCGUCAUGUGAGGAUUUCGCUUGCUUUAAUGCGCUGCGGGUGUGGGGGUCUAGGGUGUUUCUUUAGGGUUCGUGGUGGGUGGGGGGCGAUGCUUGUUGCAAACAUGCUCCUCCGAUUGAUAUUCGUCGCAAAACGUUGAACGAUUAGACUAUUAGAGGUUGUCGUUGCAAACGGGAGUGGGUGAAAUGGUUCCUGCCCUAACAUUAUGCCCUAAAAAGUGAUGAUGAAUUUUGGUGUCUCGAUUCAUACCCCUGUUAGCCUUUGUUUAUGCGCAUUCUUGUUUCGGUAUUUAUACCCUGGCAUUCUGGUGAAAAUUGUGAUGCAUCCUUCUAAUCCUCUAUUGCCACAGUUUCCUUUUUUUUUUUCUUUGCACCCAAUCAAGGAAGAAGCGUCUACUUUUUACACCGUCAAAUUGCCGAGUUUGCGUGGUACCUUUGGGAGAGGGCAUUUGUGCCCCUGGCCCGUGCAAUUUACGAACAUGUUAUUCUGCAAUUUGAUUCAUAUUUGAGGAGUUAUUUUUUGAAUAAUAAAUGGGAUCCUGAAAACUAACCCACCUCGAAUUCAAAUUUAUUCGAGAUACGCAAAGAACAUUCUGAGGAUGGAUGAUGUGUGUUCAUAACCUCUUAGGACUUUUUUUUUCAUCAUGGUAUACAUUUUACCCUGAUAAAGGGAGAAAUGAAUCUGUCAAAAAGCUGUACAAAGGAUUAGACUGGAGUAGUCAUUCUUGCAAAUUACAUGUACUAUGUGCACUGGUAUACAAGAUAAUCCUGUAUAACUGCAUCCUAUCUUAAGUUUUGACUGAAUUUUGCAUCUGCAGUUUGGCGUCUAUACUGUCCAAGCAGGAGACUACUUCCUUUAUAGUCGGCCUCAUGCAGGGAUUACAGUUGACACACUUGCAAGCAGUUUCUAGCACCUUCAGCAUUUGCUCGUCAUAUCCUGUCCCUCGCAGUAUUGGAUCCAGGACCUCAAUCUGAU